ACUUCCUGACCCAUAGUCCAUAGUUCUCUUCAGCAACUUGAACAUUUUGGAAAAAGAAACAAGUCUUAACAUGCCACGACCUAAUGGAAAAACUAAAUCCCCUUCCUACACCUUGCUUUCCAAAAGUUAAAAAAAAAUAGUUAAACGCUAUUAGAGGUCUCAAGUUCACUGUCACCAGAUCAGCUAGGUCCAGAAUCUUCAGUUCUUGAAGCCAAGCCCUACAAAUAGAUUUAUUGUAGCAUAUCACACCUCUUCAGGUGACUUAAAACAAUGAGAAUUCAUGAGAAAUUAUCUUCAUCCUCAAGUAAAAAUCAUGAGGUGCCUUUCACAUGGAUGAAAUUGCCCUGCUGUCUCAUGUUUCGUCAACAGGAAGAAAAAUACGUCUUCAAGUUUGUUUUGUUUGUUUGAGAUGGAAUCUCGCUAUGUCGCCCAGGCUGGAGGUGCAGUGGCGCGAUCUCGGCUCACUGCAACCUCCGCCUCCUGGAUUCAAGCGAUUCUCCUGCCUCAGCCUCCCGAGUAGCUGGGACUACAGACGCCCGCCACCAUGCCCGGCUAAUUUUUUUGUAUUUUUAGUAGAGACGGGGUUUC
rnacentral:lncRNA from 1 species